CUCUUCUCCCCCAGCUCUGAGUUGUGCUUGUUCUGUAUCCCCCCUCCCAGCCCUGGGUUUUCCAUCCUUUGUCCCCCUGGGAGCCAUUUGCCCCUCUCUGGGUGCUAUUUGUCCCCCUUCCAGCCUUGUUUUGGACCCGUGUCACUGUCUCUCUGCCACAGCUCUGGGGUCUGGGCGGUUGGGGACCGUUUGGUUCAAACCCGGUUCUGAGCCGUUGAGGCACCGGCUGCCCCCAUGGAUGCCCUGAUGGCCCCCCGGCCCCCCCGCCGUCCCUCCCUGCUCCACCUCCUCAGGAGCUUCUUCGGGCAUCUGCGAAACGUGCGAGGGGAGCCCAGGGUGGAGGAGCAAGAGCUGGGCGCCCUUGGGGAUGGCGGCGGCCAUGAUGGGGACCUGGCAGGCCAGCAGCCGCCAUACUGGGAGCCCUGGGAGGGUGAGGAGGGGGAGAGCACGGAGCCGCUGCUGGGGGAGCUGGGGGGGCUCAGCCUCGCCGGCUCCCUGGGGAGCAGCACCAGCAGGAGCUGCCUGACGUGGAGCACCAGCGACACGGAGCUGGCGUGUGACGUGGGGGACACGCCAGCCGGUAGCCCAGCCCUGCCACACGCAGGCCACGGGCUGGCCAGCCAGGAGGGGACGGCCAUGCCAGAAGCUUUUUGUGACAAAGCUCUGGAGACGGAUGAGUUUCUCCAAGGUCUGGGUGCUGGUGGUGAUGUUACCUGCAGUGCAAGCCCUGAGCCAAUGUUUUUUGUGGACUUCGAUGCUGAAUGUGAGAAAGAGCGGCUCCUGAAAGAUGACAGGGCAGGAUCCCCCACAGCAGAGCUGUCCCAGGGGAACAUGCUCUUCAACACAACCAGACAUCGAUGGACUUCACAUGAGCCUCAGGCCCCAGGAAGCUCGAAGGAGCUGGAAGGCGAAGAGGAGCCGCUUUUGAAUGCGGCGGGGAAUAGACCUGCAACUCCGGUCCUGCUCCCCCCGGCUCCAGACCCCUCGGACGCGGUCCCGGCGGGGAGAAGAGAGAGCAGGAGAAGCCCGUGGCUGCUUUGGGAGAAGCUGGGUACUGCUGGGAGCAGGUGGAGGAGGAACCCCUGGAAAAGCCUGAGGUGAGUCUAGAAGAGAAAAAGGCCAUCGGUGCACAGAGAUGGGGCAACUCUCCUGGCACCACGUGCCACCGUGGUCCUCUGUGACCACAGCUGUAUUUCUGCCUCCUCCACCAAGCUGCUGUGGGACCAUGUGCAGGGCACUUGGGCCAAUAUGUUUAAAAUUACAGUGCCAGGUCCAUAAAUCCAUUUUAGAAGAGCUAGUGGCUUCUACAGGAGAAAAACCAGCAUCUUUCAGUGAGGUUAUUUAUUAAAUGAGCCUAGUUUUAAGUUUUCCCUUUGAGAAGAGAGGUUCUGCACUCCCUGCCUCAGUUUCCCC
rnacentral:lncRNA from 1 species